GAAGCUUCUGUAGGAAAAGCACAUACUGUGGGUCACUCCUCGCAUGUCUGAGCGUCGCGACGUUACUCCACCACGACGCCGCCAACAAAACCCCGCCCGUCGCCGCAACCCGCCGUCGAUGUUUCAGAAGCACCGAAGCUAGAGCGAAUUCAGACGAGACGCCAUCAUACCAGAAGUCAAGCCAACUAGCAGAGAGUACUUAUUUUCAGAACCCACGCAAUGCUUUCUUUCUAUCCUUGUUUUAGUUUCUUUGUUUCUUUACAUCCCUGUUCCUGCAGCCUUCCUUCUUUCUCUCUAUCUGUCUCUUUGUUCUCAGCCGAGGCUUAGAUGACUGAACACUACUUAAAUGAAAAGAAAUCUAUAUUUGCUAUUGUUUCUCCUCUCCAUAGGAAAUCACGGCAGUAAAACCACACAACUAAAGGAAUACUUCUGCCAAUGUAUCUGUUCAGUUCUAGUAGAUCGAUUGAGGCUGCUAACCUUCCGGUUCAUCUGUAACCUCGAUAUAUAGCUGUGAGGAGAAACACCGAGGAUGUUAAUUAAAGAGGCCAAAUCGUCGAGUUCGACAACAUUACGGCAUCAUACGCCAUAAACCAGUCUUAAUUAAUAGCAUUCUUAUCUAAUUAAAACGGGACAUUGUUCACUAUAUAGACAUAUUUGUCAUAGUCAUGCUGAAGCUACAUAUAGGACUAUAUCUCCUCAAAAUAUCAGCUCAUAAAUCUGUCUGCCAGUACAUAUUCAUUACAUUAGUAUCCUAUUAUUUAUUCCAUACCACAGUCACAUAGCAAACUCUGAGAUCGCUUUGAAGGUUCUAUAAAAACGUCAAAGAGACUAUUACACAGACAGCCCAAUUAGUGUCUGUAGCCUGACUGGUUAUGAUUCUAAUCUGUGUACUGUGAAUUAGUUUAAGAAGAAACUAUAGAAACAAAGAAAGUUUGAAAUGUUAGUUUUUCUUCUGUAUCAGUGAACAAGACAAGGAAUUUUAAAAUGUAAUAUUAAUUCCAUCGCUCCAAUAAGUAAUUUUUACAAUAUUUCUAAGAGUUAUCUCUAAACUGUAGGGUAAUUAACUCAUGAAUAUUCAAAACAAGUUUGGCAAUUUACUAAAUACUAAGUAUAUCCGAAUUAACCGCAGCACCUUCAAAAUUUUAAUAUAGGCCCAGUUCGAGGUGGAAUUAAAUGUAUCAUAACACUUCAGGCCACUGCGUUUACUUUGCACAAAACUGGUUAUGAGGAAUGUUAAUAGAAAUUACAUAUGUUACGUAGUAUUUAGCAAACUGAAAUAUGUAUGUGCCAUAUAAGUUCACCUGUCUAGCUUUAGUAACAUGCAGAUUUAGUUGAUUUAAAGGCUCAGUUCCAAUAUAUUUACAGGAGAGUUACUGUAAAGGUACUGAGAAAAACUUUUCUUUCAUGACUUCAAUAUGAAUAACAAAAAUACGUAGUUCCAGACAAAGAAGUUCUUUCUCUUGGUUUCUGGAAGCUGUUUCUAAUGCCUUUAUGAUUCAACAACGCUCCUAGUGUGAAUACGAUAAUAUACACAUGCAAAAGUGAAUUGAACAAGAAUAAUUCUUAAACCUGCAUUGACAGGUAUACAUAUUAUUCAGAAGUGAAUAACGGAAAUCAAUAAGACAAUAGACGCAGAGCUAAGAAUCUUCUAAAUUACUAGGAAAUGGUUUUAGCUGUGAAUAAAUUUAAUUUAAUAAUUUCCGCAUGAUGUUACGGAUCAAAUUUAACAAACUUUGACUAAAAAUAUCCUGUAACUGACGCCGAACUAAUAUAUUAACCCGACAUUGUGUCAGUGACGGUUAACCAACUUCCACAUUAGUUUACAACACAACACAAGAGCGGUCAUUUCACAUAUGGAAAUUAUGGUAGUUGUUUAAAAAUUUUAUUAUGAUUUGAAGAACAACUAUUGGUAAUAUGACUCCUAAAAACAAACACAAAUUCUGGUCGAUAUGCGUAACGGACAAAAUGGCGUUACACCCAAUAUUUACAAAAAAAAAAAAAUAAGUCUACUUUUGAUUAUAAACUUAUCUGUAUAUUGCAUCAUUCAUCCUCAACAUUCACUCCAUGUGUUAACAGUCCUUUUUAUCAUACAUGUAAGUAGUUAUUCCAGCAGGUACAAAUGGUGAUACUGCUAAGGAGGAAAAAUAAUAUUAAUUUAUGUAAGAAGGUCAAUCAAUAAAAAUCUGAGACCUCAUAAACGUAAAUACAUACAACACAUGUAUGAAAUUAUGACAUACAAAAUAUAUAUAUAUAUACAACCCAUAUACAUAUAAUGUAGUGUAGGCCACUAGUAGUUUAUGUAUGGUAGCAUAGUAGGCCUAUGAUAAUGUGCUGUAUAUCAUAAUAGACUACAUAAAGAUAGAGUGACCUAUAGAAUACAAUACAGUAUAGCACAGCACAGUGUAGUAUUUAGUACAUCAUAGAAAAAUACAGUGCAUCACAGCAUAAUGUAAUGAGUAUACAAAAUGAAUUUAUUUAUUUUUGCGUUAAUGGGCAACAUGAAAAAAUGAAGGAUAUUAAUGACAAUUAUUUGAUUUAUUUUUUACCACUUAACUCUUGAUACAAAAAGAUACAUAAUAACACUACUGAGAUUAAAGUGUCAGUGUUUAUGCUUUAAACAGUCUGGCUUUUCUACUAACUAGCUAGAGAAAAAGACAUAAUUCAAUUCAUUAAAUCAAAAAUAAUAUUACUGUAGAAAAUGCUAGUUUUUACUCGUAAAUAAUUCAAGUGUCGAAAUACACCCCAGAGCGUGUAUCAGAAAAUCUUAAAUAUAAAUAUCAUAAUUGCCCAAACCGCGCAUUCCUACGUUGCAUGGAAGAUGUGUAUGUAGAAAUGUUUUCUGUAACAUUCAAUCAACUAAAGGUGUAUAUUUCUUAAGA